UUUCCGACCGAUUAAGUUGUGCCUGGCAACCAAAUGCCGACCUCCAUGUCUAUUCCUCUUCUCCAUCAUCAUUGCGGCGUUGGGGUUUGGUGGACUUCCGCAGUCGCGCUGUCUUUAGGGAUGGUGGCUUAUCGGCGCUGUCCUGGAGGAUUCCCAUCCGCGAGCCAUAAGAAACAGUCGGUCUGCAAGGGCGUCGGAUUCUUGAAGUCCGCUAAUCAGAAAUGGGAGUACUGAAUCAUCGUCGCCCUCGCCCCAAAAUAUGACGAUUCCGGCAGUUAUAGCCUUUGGAGAUUCCAUUGUUGAAAACGGAAACAACAACAAUCUCACAACUUUAGUCAAAUGUAACUUCCCUCCCUAUGGCACCGAUUUCAUCCAUCAAACUCCCACAGGAAGGUUUUCCAACGGCAAGACUCCCGCUGACUUAAUAGGAGAGGAAAGAAUACUUGAGAAAAAUUAAAGGAUUAGUAGGAGAGGAAAGAAGCAGUUUUAUCUUGAGCAAUAGCCUCUUUCUCGUGGUGGCUGGCUCCGACGAUCUAACCAAUAAUUAUUUCACCUUUCGCUUAAGAGAGGCUCAAUAUGACAUCAACUCUUAUACCGAUCUCAUGCUACCGAUUUCAUUAAGGAACUCUAUGAAUUGGGCGCUCGCAAGAUUGCGGUUUUCAACGUGCCACCAAUAGGGUGCCUUCCAUCUCAAAGGACUCUAGGUGGGGUGGACUAUUAAGGGUGUGUGCAGAGCCAUACAACCAGGCAACACUCUUAUUCCCUAAAAUUAUUCAUAUGGACUCUUGGAUGUGGGAGUAUUCACAUUUAUGGACC